CUCGAUCCCUGGUCUCCAGGAUCACACCCUGGGCGGAAGGCAGGUACUAACCUGCUGAGCCACCCAGGGAUCCCACUAAAUAAAAUCUUUAAAAAAAUUCCAUACACACAUAUAUAUAGAAGAGCAGGAAUAACUAUGUUAAUCCAACAAAAUACACUUCAAACCAAGGAUAUGGCCAUAGAUAAAGACAAACACUCCAUAAUAAUAGGAAGGGUCAAUACCUUAAAAUAAGCAUAAUUAUUAUAAAUGUAUGUGCCUAAUAAACUUCACAGUAUGUGAAGCAAAAGUUAACAUAAUGAAAGGAAGAAAUAGAUAAUUCAAAAUUGCAACUGAGGAUUUUAGUAGCAUUUGAUAAGACAGUAAAAGCAAAAAUCAGUAAGGAUAUAGAUGAUCUAAACAAAAAUAUCAACCGCCUUAAUCUAAUUGACAUCUAAAGUACACUACACUCAAUAACUUGAGAAUACAAAUUCUUUUCAAAUCCUGUAUUUCUUUUUUAAAAAGAUUGUAUUUAUUUAUCCAUGAGAGACACACAGAGAUAGAGGCAGAGACACAGGCAGAUGGAGGAGCAGGCUCCAUGCAGGGAGCCCAAUGUGGGACUUGAUCCCGGGUCUCCAGGAUCAGGCCCUGGGCUAAAGGAAGCGCUAAACCGCUGAGCCACCUGAGCUACCCAAAUCCUAUGUUUCAUGUACCAAUUUAGAACAUAAGCAUGCCAUUAAAUCUCAGUAGAUUUCAAAAGAUCAAAAUCUUUAAUAGUAUUUUCUUUAACUGAAGCAGAAUUAAAUGUUGAUGCUGUCACAGCAAAUUAAAGUGGAAUCUUUGCAGGUAAGGCCCACAUAUUUGGUUUCCAAACCUCCCCAGGUAAUUCAAAUGAGAACCUAUGUUGAAAACCAGUGAUCAAGGCAUAUAGCAGAAGCCAGCAAGGGAAAUAGUCAAAAAAGAUAAAAAAAAAUGAUUGCAUCUGGUGAGUACAGUGACAAUGGGAGAGGCAGAUCAUUACUUUCAUAUAUAAGUUCUCUAUUAUUUUAUUUAAGAGUGUGUGUAUUGCUUUGAUAAAAUUCCAAAUUUACUACUAAAAAUUUCUUCCUCUAAAGAGUACCCCCCAUGUACCCUUAUGCAACUGGAUUCUCCACUGUUAAUUCUCUACCUCUGAUCUCUGUUUUCAUCAAGACACCUAUCCCAAUUUUAAAUUACAGAUUAAUGUGUUUGCAGAUUAUUGUUUAUUUCAUUCCUUAGCUUCUAAGCUCCAAAGAGGCAGAACAACGCCUGUUGUAUUUACCAAUGUACACCCAAUACCUAGUACACAAAAAUCUAAAUAUUGGUAGGGAAGAUGGAGACACAAGAUUAAACCUUCCUGGCACCUGGGGCACUCAGUUGGGUAAGUGUCCACCUCUUGAUUUGGGCUCAGAUCAUGAUCUCAGGCUCCUGGUCCUCAGCAAGGAGUCUGCUUGAGAUUCUCUCUUUCCCUCUCCCUCUCCACCCCCCACCACUAUUCUCUCUCUCUCUCUCCCAAAUAAAAAUAAAUAAAUCUUUUUUUAAAAAAAUCAAAUCUUCAUCUUUAGAAGUAACUCUGUAUGUGUGUUGCUUUUGAAUAGAUGAUUUGCUUAUUUUCUACAUUUAGGGAAAGAUUGAUUUUAGGUUUGUACAAAAAAAAAAAUCUCUCUCAUUCACUUCUCUGUUCUACUCUAUGUACUCUAAUCUAGUGACACUAAAUUUAAUCUAAUGUAAUCUGAUCUCUAGUGAUAUGGGGAGGAUGACAGCUGUUUCAACCUAGUUACCUUUGGAAACAUCUCCCUCCCUCCUAUCCACUCCCCUCAAUACAGUGAAUGGUGAAAGCCAGGCAACAACACAGAGAGAGAGGCAGACAUAGGCAGAGGGAGAAACAGGCUCCUUGCAAGGAGCCCA